GAAAUGACAAAUACAAGCAGCUUUCCAUUAGUAGAUAACCUUAAAAAAUUGCUCAUCCAACUGAAAUUGGAAAUUUGCGUAGUAAAUUUAUAAGGCUUUAUGUAACAUAAAAGCUAACUAACUUUGAGUCUACUCUAACCCAAUCAGAACAUGGUUGUCUUAGAAUUCAUCUUAUUCUAAGCCUCAAGCAUAAUGUUGUUGGAUUGGUUUUGUUUUUUCUUUUUUUUCAGAUGCCUUUAAAAUUUCAGUCUACUGUUCUAUUCUUUAGUGGUACAAACCCUAAAGUGAAACAGCUGCUAGGAGUUCUUACACAUAUCCCACUGCUCAACAGCCUCAUUUCAGAUGGAAAAGAGUGUCUGAGAGCUUCUUAGACAUCUAAGCUACCAAGAUAACAAGAGAAACUUGUUCCACACCAAUUCCUUACUUCUAGUCAGGAUAUCACUACUGUGAGUCUAUGCAUUUUCUACUGUUUUCUCACUGUUACAGCUUCCUUAUGCUGCAGUAGUGUCUGGGAAAUAAAGGGCAGCAUUUGCUGAUUUCUGUA